AUGCUCUGCGCGAUCCGCGACAUGUCCUUCUUCACCGGCAUGGACAUCAACCCGGAGGUCACGCGCUUCGUCCUCAACCCGCUCAGCGGCGAGCUCUACCGCCUCCCGGACCUCGACGGCACCAAGAGGACCACCAUGUACCAGCACCUCGGCCUCCUCACCCAGUCCGAGGGCGGGCACGGCCCCCCUGACAAGUAUGCCGUAGCCGAGAUGUUUACCAUCGGCGGCAGGGAGGAGGAGGAGGGAUUCGUCUUGCGGCGGUUUCUCUCGGAGACGGGGAAGUGGGAAAAAAUGGUGGGCUUGCCGUCCCCAUUGCCUGCCGGUCGGCGGAUGCACAUCGACAGCGCCGUGGUGCCCUUCGGCGACCGCUUGUGGUGGAUCGACGAGAGCUGGGGUGCCAUCUCCGUGGACCCGCUCAGCGAGAGGCCGGAGCUCCGGUUCGUGGAGCUGCCCAGAGGGAGCGUGCUGCCUGACCUCGAAGGCGUGGUGUUCAUGAGGAAACUCGAGCGCUACCGGCGCAUGGGGGAAAGCGAGGGGAAGCUGCGCUACAUCGAGGUGUCCAAACAGAAGCCCUACGUGGUCAGCUCCUUCUCCCUCGACGACGGUGGCAGCUCCUGGACGCUGGACCACGAGGUGGCGUUUACCACAAUUUGGGAUGAUGAACCCUUGAAGGAGAUGCCGGCAAUUGGCGCAAUUGACCCACUGAACAGCCAUGUUGUGUACCUUGUGUGCGGCAACCAGCUUCUUGGCGUGGACAUGGAGAAGGAGAGGAUAACAGGGAGCUCUCGUCUAGCUAUACCCAGUGUCCCCAUCCUACCAUGUGUCCUCCCGACGUGGCUUGAAUCAAGCCAGAUUCCCUCUGCAGGUACUAACACUCUCAUCUCCUUGAUCAGUUGUUUGAUUGACCUAUGGAAGUGGUGA
rnacentral:rRNA from 1 species